GGUUUUGUACUUUAUUUAGAAGAUCUGGUUUGCAACUAGAGAGAAGACGUUUUAAUUAGUCUCUAAACCA
rnacentral:tRNA from 1 species